rnacentral:rRNA from 1 species
CUAAGGUAGCAUAAUCAUUUGUUAUUUAAUUGGUAGCUAGAAUGAAAGGUUAAACUAGCUUAUUAGGUUUGUUAAAUUAUAUAGAAGUAUAAAGUUAAGGUAAGAAUUCUUUAAUUUUCUAGGGGACGAUAAGACCCUAGAAGCUUAACAAAAGGGUAAAUUAGUUUUAGAAAUUUAUUUGUUUUACUGGGGCGGUAAAGGUAAAUAAGCUAUUUAUUACUUAGAAGAUCCUAAAAAUAUAGAUAAGAUGAGGAAGUUACUCUAGGGAUAA